rnacentral:lncRNA from 1 species
AGGGUAUCUACUGAAUGUGAAAAAAUAUUUGAAAAAUAAUGUAUCUGUUAAGGGGUUAAUACCCAAACUAUAUAAAUAACUUUUAUACAACUCAAUACAAAAAAAAAAAAAAAACCCAAAUAAUAGAAUUAAAAAAUGGACAUGGGGCACCUGAGUGGCUCAGUCAGUUAAGCACCCGAUUCUUGUCAGUGUUGUGAACUCAAGCCCCACAGGUUGGGCUCCACAAUGGGCAUGGAGUACUUAAGAAAUAAAAAGGCAGAGGAUCUGAAUGGACAUUUUUUCCAAAACAGACAUACAGAUAGCCAAAAGACACAUGAAAAGAUGCUCAAGAUCACUAAUCAUCAGGGAAGUGCAAAACAAAACCACAAAGGUAUCACUUUACACCUGCCAGAAUGGCUAGAAUAGAAAACACAAGAAAUAACAAGUGUUGGUGAGGACUGGAGAAACAGGGAGCCCUUGCACACUGUUGGUAAAAUUAUAAAUUGUGCAGCCCCUGUAGAAAAGGGUAUGGAGGCUCCUCAAAAUAUCAAAAACAGAAAUACCAUAUGAUUCAGUAAUUCCAUUACUGGCUACUUACUCAAAGAAAAUGACAACACUAAUUUGAAAAUAUAUAUCCACCCCUAUGCUUAUUGCAGCAUUAUUUUUAUGUAACCCAGGUGUCCACUGAUAGAUGAAUGGAUAAGGAAGAUGUUGUAUGUGUACACACACACACACACACACAAAUAUUACUCAGCCACACAAAAUGGAUGAAAUACUGACAUUUGUGACAACACGGAUGGAGCUGGAAAGUAUUAUGGAAUCCAGUUCAAGAAAUAAUGGAGCACCUGAUCAUAGAAUACAACUUCCAGCGCUAUAUACAACCUCCAGCUAUAUACAUUGGCUACUGGCAAUAAUAAACCUGCAGAGAAGUCAACAGUACUAGGGAAUGCUAGUGAGGUGCUGUCACGUCCCACUGCUGCCCUAGGUCUUUA